rnacentral:rRNA from 1 species
AACAGGAUUCCCUUAGUAAUGGCGAAUGAACAGGGAUGAGCUCAGCAUGGAAAUCGGGGUCUCCCGACCUUGAAUUGUAGUCUGUAGAUGUACUGCCAACGGAGGCGCAGAUGUAAGCCUCUUGGAAAAGAGCAUCAACGAGGGUGAGAGUCCCGUUUGUCAUCUGCAGUCCCCCGUGCACGGUGUGCCUUCUAAGAGUCACGUUCCUCGGGAUUGGAGCGCAAAGUGGGUGGUAAAUUUCAUCUAAAGCUAAAUAUUGGUUCGAGACCGAUAGCAAACAAGUACCAUGAGGGAAAGGUGAAAAGGACUUUGAAAAGAGAGUUAAAAGUGCCUGAAAUUGCUGAAAGGGAAGCGAAUGGAACCAGUGUUCUUGAUGAGAUUGUUGCGUACUCUGGUGAUUGCUGGGUGUUCCACCGCAAGGGGGGCAUUUAGUUUUGAGCUAGAUGUGCGUGGUGUUUCUUGUCUUGUGUGUCACCGUCGGUGCACGAGCGAGUAAACCUCCAGGGGGCUGGUAGCUCGACCAUGGUUGAGUGAAUACCUUUGGCAGUACUCAUUUGUGUAUCGAUCCCUGCGUGUCUGGUUGCAGUGUUUGGGUCGCCUGGAAACUUCUGAGGGGCUUGUCCUUGAAGGAGUCCUUCUGGGCGCCCUGAGCAUCUCCCUGACACAAAGACGA